rnacentral:lncRNA from 1 species
AUUGUUAGGUUUAAUCUUGUCAAGAGGAAAGUGUGAGUGUAGUCAGGCAUGUAGUUGAGUUUCCUAUACGUGAGCUGCGGCAGUGUGUGCACAGAGAGAUGUGAUCCUGGGUACAAACGCAAAGCUUGUAGUGUUAGUUAGUUGCAUGCCUAGUUAGUAGGAGAGGAUUGAGUCACACGUCUGCAUGGAUAAGUUGUUAGCUAGUCGGAGAGUUUGCAAGGUAGUUAGCUUAGUGCGUGCGUUAAUGAGUUAGUGGCCGAGUGUGCCGG